GCGAGGGUGGCGGAACUGGUAGACGCGCUGGAUUUAGGAUCCAGUCCCGAAUAGGGGUGAGGGUUCGAAUCCCUCCUCUCGCA
rnacentral:tRNA from 1 species